GCGCAGGUGGAGGAGGCGCCCAGGGCGGCAGGUGCUGGGGCGCUCACCUGGGGGACAGCGGUGACGAAAACGCCAGUGUUUUAGAGGCAAACGAGGGAUCUGGGAUACGACAUUGACAGGUAAGCUGCCUGUGGGCUAUAGUGUGCGAUUUGAGCAUCGCGGCUGUGACCUAUCGGGGGAUGGGGACCUCGGCUGCCUACAGAGGCCAAACCGAGCCUUAAACCGGUGUCGCAGGCCGAGUGUCCUGGGAACGGUUGCCUACCCCAGAGCCUUCUCCCAGCUCCAUCCAAGUAUUGCCAGAAAUCGGAUUUAGGGAUAAAUAUCUUGAUUUUUAAAUACAGAAUUGGGAACACAUCUCAAAAGCCAAACUGAUCCCACGGUUAGUCUAGAUUCAGCCUGCAGGUCGCCCGAUUGUAGUGGCUGAACUAUGCGGUUUCUUAAAUAUGCCCUUCUGUACUUAUCACAGUGUAUUUAGUUUAUGUGCUCCUCCAAUAAAUUGCGAGUUUAUG
rnacentral:lncRNA from 1 species